rnacentral:rRNA from 1 species
GUCGCCUACGGGACGCAGCAGUGGGGAAUAUUGCGCAAUGGGCGAAAGCCUGACGCAGCGACGCCGCGUGAGGGAUGAAGGACUUCGGAUCGUAAACCCCUGUCAGCAGGGAAGAACGGUCACUGUGCUAAUCAGCAGUGAAUUGACGGUACCUGCAAAGGAAGCACCGGCUAACUCCGUGCCAGCAGCCGCGGUAAUACGGAGGGUGCGAGCGUUAAUCGGAAUUACUGGGCGUAAAGCGCUCGUAGGCGGGAUGUCAAGUCAAGGGUGAAAUCCCCGCGAUCAACGUGGGAACUGCCUUUGAA